UUAGGGAUGGGUAGGUGGGUUGAUUAUGAGUGCAAAGGAAGGUUAAGUUGGCUUGACGGAGCAUCCAUUCGAUACCUUGGAGUAAUCCUAAUUGUUGUAAACAAGUUAAAUCGGGGUACCUGGUGGAAACGACGCCUCGCUGUUGGAAACGCUCGAAUUGCUCCCUUUGAUAAUUUUCAUCUUCGGAUCGGAAGAUGAUAUUUCCGAAAUUCUGAUUUCCUGCCAUUGUGAUGAAUGAAUUUUGAAGGAGUGAUUUGGAAAGAAAAGAAAUGUAUUUGAUAGGAGAGAAUGGUUUGUGGUGAAUGAAGGAAGGUUUGGUGGGUAUUUAUAGGAGAAGAAUUUGGAAGUUGGAAAGAAGAAGUGGUUGAAAAGUAAUUAAGUGUGGUUGAAUGGAAAUUAAUGGGGAAGGUAAAAAGUAAAAAGGUGUAACGUUCGUCUCCAACGGCUCCUUAACGUUCACUAGUCUGAAGGGUGUUACGCUCGUCACAGGGGUGUGACGUUCGUAACAGGCACUUGGUGUGCCGUCCGUUAUGGAUUUGUGUGACGCUCGUCACACAUUCCAUUUUGGCAAGGCUUCAGUAGCGUUUCACAGAAUCAAUUUGGUAAAGGAUUUUAUUUUUGUUAUUUAUUUUGUUUUGUUUUGCUUAUGAUUGGUUUAUUUUGCAAUUUAAUUUAUCGUGCACGCUUAAUCUGCUUUGUAUAAUAAUAAGUCAUAGGUAGCAACAUUAGAGCAUAAUAGCUAUUGCAUAAUAAAAUUAAAUAAACAGCUUCAAUAAAAUGAUCAUAAUGUAAUACAGGAAAGGAAAACAAUGAAAUGAAAGAGAAAUAAAUGUGAACAUGAAUUCAAAUAACAUUAAUGAAUAAUCUAACUUAAAACUAAAUAACUUAGAAAAAUAACUAAAUUCUAUCCCUCUGUACGAUCUCUGGCCGGAGGAGCAAAAGAGUUAACACGAUGUAGCAACUCGUGAAACUGAUCUGUCAUACUGCUCAUGUAUCCUAGAACUUCGUGUCUCAUGUUAGUAAAUUCUCCUCUGAGGGCGUCUUGUUCUGACAUCAAAGCUUCAAUGGCGGUGUUAUAAUCAGUUCCGGGCAUAUGAUGCCGGAGGUCGGAUAUGGCUGAUUCUUCGGUCUGAACAGGCUGAGGAGGAGGGUCAAUAUCAUAAUAGCCGGAUGGUGUCUGAGGGUCAGAUUCAGCAUGAGGGAUCUGGUCAUCAUAA
rnacentral:lncRNA from 1 species